AGAACGAACGCUGGCGGCAGGCCUCAAACAUGCAAGUCUAGGGGGCGUAGCAAUACGUCACCGGCGGACGGGUGCGUAACACGUGGGAAUGUACUUACUGGUUCGGAACAACUCAGGGAAACUUGAGCUAAUACCGAAUGUGCCCGAAAGGGGAAAGAUUUAUCGCCAGUAAAUCAGCCCGCGUCCGAUUAGCUAGUUGGCGGGGUAAAGGCCCACCAAGGCGACGAUCGGUAGCUGUUCUGAGAGGAAGAUCAGCCACACUGGGACUGAGACACGGCCCCAGACUCCUACGGGAGGCAGCAGUUGGGAAUCUUGGACAAUGGGGAAACCCUGAUCCAGCCAUGCCGCGUGAGUGAUGAAGGCCUUCGGGUUGUAAAACUCUUUCGACGGGGACGAUAAUGACGGUACCCGUAGAAGAAGCUCCGGCUAACUUCGCGCCAGCAGCCGC
rnacentral:rRNA from 1 species